UCCCUGGUGGUCCAGUGGCUAAGAUUCUGUGCUCCCAAUGCAGAGGGCACAGGUUCGAUCCCUGGUCGGGGAA
rnacentral:tRNA from 1 species